GCUAUCAUGCGUUGGCCAGCUUUUGCCAUUUUCUGCCUGCAAAAGCGGUGUGCGUCAUCACGCGCGUGAAUAAUCACCAGAAGUCU
rnacentral:ncRNA from 2 species